AAGAGAGAAAUCAGGGACUGCUAACUCCUGCUACCGCAACUAAACUUGCGGCUCCCUU
rnacentral:tRNA from 1 species